CUAGUGUACAGGUGACUCACAGGUGGGAUUGGGAGCACUCAGGAGAGAACCCUUCCCUUUGAGCUGAACCAAGAAGCCACGUCCGCAGCAUUAACAGGGUGAAGGUCCAGAAGGGCUCCAGGUUUUUGCCUUUAAAUACUCCCUACCGUUACAAGCAAAAAAGCUGUCUACCCCCUUUGUCUUUGCCCUCAAGCAAGAGUAUUGAGGCAAGAAUUCAAAGGUGAAAUAUUCAGAAGUUGACACCUCUGAAGCAAUUGAGGAUGGAAAUCUCUGAUCACCAUUUCUCACAUCAAUCUUCAUGCAUUGGUCGAAGGGUUUCGUACUGAAGCUAAAAAGAAUGUUUUCCCCCCUUCCCUCCUCCUCACUGCAAUUUGAAGAAUUUGGACCUGUAAUUCAAAGAGAACACCCUUAAUUCGGCCUGCUUGGUGGGCAAUGACUGCCCAUUUCUGAAAGACGCACUGCUAACAACCACAAUCAGACAUUCAAAAAGUCACUGUCUACAGGAAAAGGAAUCCAUGGAAGACAUGACAUUUUUACAUCAUUCCUUCCUCCAGACAAUUAAAUCU